CCUACGGGUGGCAGCAGUGAGGAAUAUUGGUCAAUGGGCGCGAGCCUGAACCAGCCAAGUCGCGUGAAGGAUGACUGCCCUACGGGUUGUAAACUUCUUUUAUAAAGGAAUAAAGUGAGGCACGUGUGCCUUUUUGUAUGUACUUUAUGAAUAAGGAUCGGCUAACUCCGUGCCAGCAGCAGCGGUAAUACGGAGGAUUCGAGCGUUAUCCGGAUUUAUUGGGUUUAAAGGGAGCGUAGAUGGGUUGUUAAGUCAGCUGUGAAAGGUUGCGGCUCAACCUUAAAAUUGCAUUUGAUACUGGCAGCCUUGAGUACAGUUGAGGUAGGCGGAAUUCGUGGUGUAGCGGUGAAAUGCUUAGAUAUCACGAAGAACUCCGAUUGCAAAGGCAGCCUACUAAACUGCCACUGACAUUGAUGCUCGAAAGUGUGGGGAGCAAACAGGAUUAGAUACCCUGGUAGUC
rnacentral:rRNA from 1 species